UUGGUGGAGCGUGAUGGUCGCGGUCCGUCGUAACAGACGGGUCGAGGAAAGUCCGAGCUCCGUAGGGCAGAUUGCCAGGUAACGCCUGGGCGCCGUAAGGCGACGGACAGGGCCACAGAAAACAAACCGCCCGGAAACGGGUAAGGGUGAAACGGCGGGGUAAGAGCCCACCGCGCGACUGGUAACAGUCGUGGCACGGUAACCCCCAGUCGGAGCAAGGCCAAAUAGGCGGCGAGGUUCGGCCCGAACCACUCGAGCCGUGGGUAGGCUGCUUCAGGCGACAGGCGACUGUUGUCGCAGAUAGAUGACCAUCCAUCCGCUUGCGCGGGUGAACAGAACUCGGCUUACGGCUCCACCAGCUCU
rnacentral:RNase_P_RNA from 1 species